rnacentral:rRNA from 1 species
GACGAACGCUGGCGGCGUGCUUAACACAUGCAAGUCGAACGGAAAGGCCCUGCUUUUGUGGGGUGCUCGAGUGGCGAACGGGUGAGUAACACGUGAGUAACCUGCCCUUGACUUUGGGAUAACUUCAGGAAACUGGGGCUAAUACCGGAUAGGAGCUCCUGCUGCAUGGUGGGGGUUGGAAAGGUUCGGCGGUUGGGGAUGGACUCGCGGCUUAUCAGCUUGUUGGUGGGGUAGUGGCUUACCAAGGGUUUGACGGGUAGCCGGCCUGAGAGGGUGACCGGCCACAUUGGGACUGAGAUACGGCCCAGACUCCUACGGGAGGCAGCAGUGGGGAAUAUUGCACAAUGGGCGGAAGCCUGAUGCAGCAACGCCGCGUGCGGGAUGACGGCCUUCGGGUUGUAAACCGCUUUCGCCUGUAACGAAGCGUGAGUGACGGUAAUGGGUAAAGAAGCACCGGCUAACUACGUG